rnacentral:lncRNA from 1 species
CGGGGAAAAAGGGAGAGCGCUCUCCCGUAUGUGUUAAAUGAUCUGUUUGGAGAUGGACCCUCCUCCAUGUAUCAGUACGAACCAUCUUGAUCUUAUCUUGCAGAAAUGCAAAUGGCCGGUCUCAACAUCGUUAGGUCACUGACGCUAAUUUACCAUCCAUUGGCAGAAAACCUACAUGGCACCAAACCAAUGGAGCAUGAUCCAUUCAUCACCACUCACUCUGCCCUUCCUUGCCCAAUAUAUGGCCCCAUGCCUGCCUGC